GCCGGGCGCGGUGGCUCACGCCUGUAAUCCCAGAACUUUGGGAGGCUGAGGCAGGUGGAUCACCUGAGGUCAGGAGCUUGAGACCAGCCUGGCCUACAUGGUGAAACCCUGUCUCUA
rnacentral:SRP_RNA from 1 species